UACGAAGGGGGCUAGCGUUGCUCGGAAUCACUGGGCGUAAAGGGUGCGUAGGCGGGUCUUUAAGUCAGGGGUGAAAUCCUGGAGCUCAACUCCAGAACUGCCUUCGAUACUGGAAGAUUUGAGUCCGGGAGAGGUGAGUGGAACUGCGAGUGUAGAGGUGAAAUUCGUAGAUAUUCGCAAGAACACCGGUGGCGAAGGCGGCCAACUGGACCAUUACUGACGCUGAGGCGCGAAAGCGUGGGGAGCAAACAGG
rnacentral:rRNA from 1 species